rnacentral:rRNA from 1 species
GGCCUUUUGAUGAUAAUUUAAGGUCUGGCCUGCCCAAUGAUAGAAUAUUAAAUGGCCGCGGUAUUUUGACCGUGCAAAGGUAGCAUAAUCAUUAGUUCUUUAAUUGAGAGCUUGAAUGAAAGGUUUGAUGAGAAAAGAGCUGUCUCUAUUUAAAUUUUUUAGAAAUUUAUUUUUAAGUUAAAAAGCUUAAAUUAGUGUUAAAGACGAGAAGACCCUAUAGAGUUUUAUAAUUUUAUGAUACUAUUAUGUUUUAGGAUUUUCUAAUAAUUUUUUAUAAUUAUUUAGUUGGGGUGAUUAAAAAAUUAGCUAAACUUUUUUAUGUAAUUUUUCAUUGAUUUAUGAAUUUUUGAUCCUUUAGAAAGAUUAAUAGAUAAAAUUACCUUAGGGAUAACAGCGUAAUUUUUUUUAGAGUUCUUAUCGAAAGAAAAGAUUGCGACCUCGAUGUUGGAUUAAAAUAGAUUAUUGGUGCAAGAGCUAAUAAGGCAGGUCUGUUCGACCUUUAAAUUUUUACAUGAUCUGAGUUUAAACCGGUGUGAG